rnacentral:rRNA from 1 species
UACGUAGGGUGCGAGCGUUGUCCGGAAUUACUGGGCGUAAAGAGCUCGUAGGUGGUUUGUCGCGUUGUUCGUGAAAACUCACAGCUUAACUGUGGGCGUGCGGGCGAUACGGGCAGACUGGAGUACUGCAGGGGAGACUGGAAUUCCUGGUGUAGCGGUGGAAUGCGCAGAUAUCAGGAGGAACACCGGUGGCGAAGGCGGCUACCUGGACCGGUUCUGACGCUGAUGCGCGAAAGCGUGGGUAGCAAACAGG